GUUGAAUGACCUCCGUUCUAAUUCCCUACACGCUUCAUUUUUUUCUCUCUCUUCCUCCAAGUUCUCUAAGAGGCGAUAUUUUUUCUUGCUCUUCCAUUUCUUCGCUCUUUAAUUUCUUCUCUUUUGCUCAUCAAUUUCUCGCGAUAUUCUGUUAAGAAAGUGGAUGAUAUGAAAUUGCGACUGCGUCAGAUUGAGCUAAAUAUGGUUAAGCUAAGAGCAAAGCAAAUAUCGUUAGAGAAAGAUGGAAAGACCAACUCACUGACAAAAUAUGGUAAAAUAGUGUUACACUUCCUCAUCAAAUAUCCUGGCAAUAUUGUAGUGCCAUGCCUAUUAUACAAUCUACCUACAAAUUUUACAUGUAAUAUAUUUUUAACAUGUGGAUUUCAUAAUUAAUUUUUUGAACAUUUUUAAACAAGUUCUGGAUUGUCAAAUCUUUAUUUGUUGAAGGCCCUAUAUUCACUAAUGCCGAACAUUUUAAAGAUGAUUCCAGCCUUGUCUUAUACUUAAUUGAUUGGUUUAUUUUCUUUUAAUAGUUUUCUAUUUACUUUUAAGAAAUAUUGAUUUACUGCAAAUGUAAUGUUUAAUAAACAAAUGAUGGGAAGAUAGGUGUGGAAACGAUGGAUGGAAGACUGAUAUGGAGUCUAUCAUUAAUAUAUAAUUUUGUCCUUAUAUUGUUUAAU